GGAAGGAUCAUUACUGAGUGAGGGCCCUCGGGGUCCAACCUCCCACCCGUGUUUAUUAUACCUUGUUGCUUCGGCGGGCCCGCCGUCAGGCCGCCGGGGGGGCUUCUGCCCCCGGGCCCGCGCCCGCCGAAGACAUCUCGAACUCUGUCUGAAGAUUGUAGUCUGAGUAUAAAUAUAAAUUAUUUAAAACUUUCAACAACGGAUCUCUUGGUUCCGGCAUCGAUGAAGAACGCAGCGAAAUGCGAUACGUAAUGUGAAUUGCAGAAUUCAGUGAAUCAUCGAGUCUUUGAACGCACAUUGCGCCCUCUGGUAUUCCGGAGGGCAUGCCUGUCCGAGCGUCAUUGCUGCCCUCAAGCACGGCUUGUGUGUUGGGCCCCGUCCUCCGAUCCCGGGGGACGGGCCCGAAAGGCAGCGGCGGCACCGCGUCCGGUCCUCGAGCGUAUGGGGCUUUGUCACCCGCUCUGUAGGCCCGGCCGGCGCUUGCCGAUCAACCAAAUUUUUAUCCAGGU
rnacentral:rRNA from 1 species